AGAUGUCGGCACAGAAGGACUGGUCAUCAUUCACAAUCUUGGCCCCUUUGAUCAGGAGACGGUCGCUCUGGAAAAACAAUAAAGAAGCCCGCAGGGGUCGUGUGACAGAGUGUGUGAUUGGACUGGAUCUGUGCCAAGCAUGACAGUGACCUUUCCUUCGUGGGAACUUUUUCAGAGCUCACAAACAGGAUGUGGAUAAAGCUCAAUGGGCCCACUGUUACUAAACUACUGUGUUUACAUUCCAGGCUACAACCUACAACCUUACUGAGAUUGCAUACAAGGCAAAAGAGUUCAAUGAGCAUUUAAAAAAAACAUCUGUAACGCAAUUAGGACACUUAUAAAAACACUUACUGAAUAUUUUGUUUAACACGGUAACUUUCCUCAACCUCCUUCACCUCUGUUUCCUCAAACAAAACAUCCUGGACUAGUGUAAUACUUUCAGCAUAGUGGGCGGAGCAUGGAGACAGAGCAUAAAUAAGUCCCACCCACACCGAAGGGGCAAACAGUUCAUGGCUCCUUUUCCAUCUGCUGAUAGAUGCCUAGAAACUGCAGUGCAGUGGGACGCAGUAUCAACAGAGCCAAAAACUGAGCCCUUCAGGAGACAGGAGUGGACACGUGACUCAAACUGUGGGAUAAUGAAGCUGAGAAGCCUGAAGUGCUGUCUGCAUUUUGUUAAUGAUAAGUGUCAGUUUUAGACAAAUUUAUUUCCUUAAGUAUUAUGAGAUUGUCCGCAACUUUAAUUACUGUGAAGUGUGGAUAAUUUAGAAAUCUAUGACUAAUGUUUUGUUUAUGAUUGCCUUAGCUAUAAGAGCUUGUGAUUGAA